CAGUAGCCGCGGUAAUACGUAGGUGGCAAGCGUUGUCCGGAAUUAUUGGGCGUAAAGGGCUCGCAGGCGGUUUCUUAAGUCUGAUGUGAAAGCCCCCGGCUCAACCGGGGAGGGUCAUUGGAAACUGGGAAACUUGAGUGCAGAAGAGGAGAGUGGAAUUCCACGUGUAGCGGUGAAAUGCGUAGAGAUGUGGAGGAACACCAGUGGCGAAGGCGACUCUCUGGUCUGUAACUGACGCUGAGGAGCGAAAGCGUGGGGAGCGAACAGGAUUAGAGACCCGGGUAGUCCCUGUCUCUUAUAC
rnacentral:rRNA from 1 species